rnacentral:rRNA from 1 species
UACGGAGGGUGCAAGCGUUAUCCGGAUUUACUGGGUUUAAAGGGUGCGUAGGUGGGCAGGUAAGUCAGUGGUGAAAUCUUCAAGCUUAACUUGGGAACUGCCAUUGAUACUAUUUGUCUUGAAUUAUCUGGAGGUAAGCGGAAUAUGUCAUGUAGCGGUGAAAUGCUUAGAUAUGACAUAGAACACCCAUUGCGAAGGCAGCUUACUACGGAUAUAUUGACACUGAGGCACGAAAGCGUGGGGAUCAAACAGG